UCUGGGUGUGGUGGCACAUGCCUGUAAUCCAGCAGCUUGGGAGGCUGAGACAGGAGGAUCAUGAGUUCGAAUCGAGGUGCUAAACAACUCAGUGAGACCCUGUCUCUA
rnacentral:sRNA from 1 species